AUCACAUACUAAGUCUCUUGACUGUCUUCCUAAACUGUCCGACUAUAAUUUAUUUCAUAGUGAUAGCAAUCUGACUGAAGAAAGGAAUGUUUGAAGCCAAAGGCUUCUUUCAAGCUUUUAUAUUGAAGUUUACUCUGAAAAAAACAGCUAGCUUUUGUGCAUGUCUCUCUCAUUGUGAAACUAACAUUCCCACCAAGGGAUACUUUUACUCAUCAUCCUAGUCCCUGCACAUGAAAGGAAUCAAAUUUGGUAUAAUAAUUUGUUGGGCCACUCAAAUUUUAUAUCAUUCAAGUGAUAAUUAUUUUGAAAGUAAAAUAUCUUUACAAUACAAACUCCUUCAACAUGACUUCUCCAUCCUCUGUAGAUGUAGGUUCUUUAAAACCAGGAUACAUUCAGACAUUCCAGUCAGUUGCACCCUCACCAAAACUUGAUUCUCUUAAAUGGUUCAAUAAGAAAAGAUACCUGUUUUCCUGCACUGUAAUGGAGGAGGAAUUAUCUUGUCCUGUUUGUCUGGAGCUCUUUGCAGAUCCUUUACUGUUGCCGUGUUCACACAGCAUAUGUAAAAAAUGUUUGCGAGAUUUAGUAGCAUCUGACGGCCAACUUGGACGAGAAGAGACUUGCUGUCCAACCUGUCGAAACCCCUUGCUUUUGUCACAAAAUAACAUUGAUACAUUACCACGAAAUUUGGCUUUGGAAAACAUAGUAAUUCGCUUUCAAGAAAUCUGUAGCAAUUCUUUGAUGAAGAGCAAAAGCCAUAAUUUAUCUUCAAAAUCACAAUUUCUUUUAAAUAAAGAAGAUUUGAAUGUUCCAGGAAUUUCAGAAGAAUCUAAAGAAUUUUGUGAGUUAUGUGAAGGUAAAUUCUGUGCCAAAGCUGAAUGGUUUUGUCAACAAUGUACAGUGCUUUAUUGUCAGGAUUGUUUAGACAAAUUUCAUCCCCGCAGGGGAUCGCUGAGUCACCACCGGAUUUGUAAAGCUUUUAAAAGUACAGUAGAAAGCAAGCCAAUAUUUUGUGGUGAUCAUAAGUCUGAAAUGACCAGUGUAUUUUGUGAUUCUUGUAAGACUUUGGCAUGUCCUCUCUGUGUUUGUGAUGGCAUUGGCAAACAUGCUGGACAUAUGAUACUCACUAAAGAUGUAGCUUCAGAACAAAUAAAGGAGUUUGUUCAGAAAACAAAAGGACAUUUAGAUAAGAUAUUCAGGGAAAUUUUGGCCCAAACCUCAAAAUUGGAAGAGACAAAAGAUGAAAUUAAGCAUUUGCAUGAUGAGGCAUCAAAAAGGGUUUCGGAACAAUAUCAACACAUACUUAAUGAUAUUAUUGCAGUACUCAGUCAACAGAAGGAAGCUCACCUCAAUAACCUCAAUGAAAUAAAAUCAAAAGCUAUAGCAUCACUUGAAUUACAUUUAAAUAAUAGCAUAAAGAGGACUAAAUCAAUAGAUGAAAUGGUUGAGGGUUGUAAAAGAAUAGCAAAGGAAGAAAGUCAAAGAGAAUUAUUAGAACAAGCAUCUGACAUUUUCACAAUUCGUGCUCAAGAAAUGGAACUGACAAAUGAGUUGAAACAGAUGGAAUCUUUUUACCAGGAGCUAAUCGUUGAAAAGUCUGCUCAGCAAUGCCUCCGAUCUGUUGUAACUCGCUUUCGAAAAACAACCUUUGAUGAUUUGAUCAUUUUUCUUGAAUCGUGUAUCGAGUACUUUCUGUGGGAUAUCGCGUUUAAACAGCUGUGAAACCAUUUAAAAUUACAAGGAAAAAUGCUAGCUAGAGAAAUAAUGUUCUGAAGAUUAUAAACCUGGAAAAGUACAGGACAAGUUAUUACAUCUGGUAAAAUGAUGAUAAAAACAAAUGUGACCAUAUUGUACCUAUGAUGCAGGCAUCACCAACCCCAAGCAAACUAAGUGGUGUUCGAGUGCAGAAUAAGUGCCUAAUGACAUGGGGAUUUAAUUCUACAACGUU
rnacentral:misc_RNA from 1 species